rnacentral:rRNA from 1 species
GACGAACGCUGGCGGCGUGCUUAACACAUGCAAGUCGAACGGAAAGGCCUUUUCGGAGGUACUCGAGUGGCGAACGGGUGAGUAACACGUGGGUGAUCUGCCCUGCACUCUGGGAUAAGCCUGGGAAACUGGGUCUAAUACCGGAUAGGACCGCACUUUAGUGUGUGUGGUGGAAAGUUUUUUCGGUGUAGGAUGAGCCCGCGGCCUAUCAGCUUGUUGGUGGGGUAAUGGCCUACCAAGGCGGCGACGGGUAGCCGGACUGAGAGGUUGGUCGGCCACAUUGGGACUGAGAUACGGCCCAGACGCCUACGGGAGGCAGCAGUGGGGAAUAUUGCACAAUGGGCGCAAGCCUGAUGCAGCGACGCCGCGUGGGGGAUGACGGCCUUCGGGUUGUAAACUCCUUUCGCCAGGGACGAAGCGUUUUGUGACGGUACCUGGAGAAGAAGCACCGGCUAACUACGUG